rfam:Oryza glaberrima chromosome 2 Oglab02_0293_6, whole genome shotgun sequence.
UUUAAAUGCAACCAUAAAUUUUUCACCUAAUAUUAGUUUUUUUGAAUUUUUUUAUAAUUAGUAUUUUUUGUUGUUAUGAAAUAAUAAAACAUGAAUAGUACUUUACUGACUUAUGUUUUUAAAUUUUUUUAAAAAAAUUAAAUAAGAUGGACGAUAAAAGUUAGGUGCGAAAAAUUAUGGCUACACGGGAC